AUGAGCGAUAUUUUUUUUUUUAACUGCAACUAAUCAAAUGAUUAAUCUCUAGAUUUUUUAGAUGAGAACGUUCAAUCUAAACGUCUUUGCGUUCAAACAAAUUCAACGUACGUACGAUCUCUGUAUUGCGCGCGCGCAUAGCCUAUAUAGCGAGCGCCUAUAGCAGCCGAAGCCUACAGCGAUGCGAAUGCGGUUCCAAAAUAUAGGCUCAACGAGCACGAUAUCCACCUAGAUUCGUCUGUACUAUUCGCGUCUCGAAAUACCUCAUUUUCUGGCGUUUUCAUCAUGGAUGAAAGACUUUAAUGAGCUUAUUGCUGAUAUAUCAAAUAUCUCCAGGAAAAGACAGAAAAAUGAAGAAUGGAUGAAAUCCAAAGCAAAAGAGCGGAGAAACAGUGCACUACUGAAGGUUAACGGCCAGCCGUUGUAUGCCGUCAUCCAUCACAAUGCCUUUGUAAAGCAGCAAUCCUUGACGAGGGGGGGGGGGCAUUGAUGACAUCUUCCAUGCUCUCUCUAAGAAGAUUCCAAGACAAGAUGCAUUCAUAGCAGCGUACAAAACGGAUGUUAAUUAAAAGCUCUUGCUCGCACGCAGUAGCCAUCAACAUUGAAGAGAAAAAUCAUGCAGCUACUGCUUUGCAUGGACCACGCACCUACCUUGAAACUGUCAAGGAGUUUUAUGCAGCAAUCUGCAUAUAUCGGAGCAAUGGAUGUUGAUAGUGAUGAGAAGGAGGAUGAAUCAACAGUUGUCAUGUAUCAUGUUUGAUGAAUGAAACUAUAAAGAGGCAUGUUAAUUUAAUUCAAUUGACAAAGUCGAUAAACGUAUCACUAAAAUAGUUCUGGAAUGCAUCAGAGUAUAGAUCCUUCCAGAUAAAUGAUUCCAUUAGGAAUGGUAUUUUACUAUUUUUGUUGUUGGUAGUUUAACUUUAAAGCUUUCAAAUUAAGAUGUGAAUUUGCCAAAUAUUCAUGGCGUAAGAUAAAACAGUUAUAUAUGUUUUGAGAUUGAAAUUAAAUGGCGUACUAAUCACCUCCCGGAAGUACAGGCCAGGUAUCAAAAGAAACAGUUGCACCGUUGGUUUUAGGUAAAAUGUUAGCAUUAAUUAUGGUGACAUUGAUUACUUUUUGAAAUGUUUUACAGAAUUUUAUAAUGAGGUAUUUUGUAUAAACGAUCAAGUCGAUCAUUGUGUUUGCAAAACAGCAUACUACCAUACUGUUAUUUCCAAAUUUGCCCUGAGCAAUACACUCCUCUGUACUGAUCAGUUUACUGGUGCAAAUAAUCCUAAUAUUUCAUUGGUAAAGAAAGAGAGAGAAGAAACCUGUGUCAUCAAUAUAUUGAAGAUUGUAGAGGUAUGCGUGUGGAUGGAUGUCAGGUUAAAUGAUGUAUUUGUUGCACAUUAAACUUAUCAGUCUGGCGGGACGUUUGCCAUGAAGCAUACUCUCGACAGUCACUGUUAUGAAUUUGUUAGGUAACUUUAAUUCAAAUUGCUAGCAGCAUAGUGAAGGCUUGUCAAUAGUUCUGCUUCUGUAAUUCUGUUGAGUGUUGACACUGCAGCCUCUUCUAUCGUACCAUCACUUUUGGGCCGACUGCCCUUCUGUCUUUACACAAUUGAGAAAUAAAUGUUGUCAACCAGCAUAUGUUACUUUAAAACAAAAAUGAGAGUAAUGUAACAAGAGUUUUCUAUUACAUUUUAGCCUUGUGAAAGGAAAGUUAUGUAAUUAUCAUAUUUUUUUCCAUGUUAGUGAUGUCACAUAAUCAUUAAUGAUUCAAUGUUGUAUACAUACUCACAUUUUUAGUAAACAUUGUGAAUUGGUGAUGAUAAUGUACAUUAAUUGAUAUUUUGAAAAUUUAUAUUAUCACAUGGAAUGAUGACUAGGGCUGGCAGUAGGGGCAAUGUUUAGGAUUCUUUCAACUCUGUGGCUAAAUCAGGAUUCUCACCCUGUAACGACUAUAAAGUAGUUUUACUAAAAGUGCCGUAUUCAUAGUCGCUUAUAUUGUAGUGGCCAUGGAAUUUUUGUUAAAGGUUCUUAUAUCUCUAUUCUAAGUUCUUGCUCAUUUUUAUGUAUAACAAUGCCUUGGCAGAGAGUACUGUGCUACCACUGCUGUGCAGUGUUUACUUUUUAGUAUACUGAUAGACCAAUGAGUAAAUAAAAGAUAACAGUUAACAAAUAA
rnacentral:lncRNA from 1 species